rnacentral:lncRNA from 1 species
AGCAGGUCAUGGAUGAAUCGUCAAACCUCAACAUUUGUUAUAUGAUAGAUUCAAUCAGCUUAAGUCUAUACGUGACUCUGUGGAAACUCUUUUUCAUCAAUCAUAUUGCUAUGGUCAUAGACUUAAGGAUUCAACCUCUUAAAUUUCAUAAGACUACUCCUUUCUGCUAGGAUCGAUAGAUCCCAUCUUGAUGAACACUCCACUCCUACAGUGGACCAACUAUCGCCAACAUCUACUACAAGGGCUCCUUAAGAUUCAUGUUAAUGUGUCAGUCAAACUCUAGUAGCCUCACUGUGAGUAGUAGUGCCAUCUCAUAUCAAAGGACUAGUCAUAC